rnacentral:lncRNA from 10 species
AGCAGCCGCUCUGCUCACACCGAGUGGGGCUGACCGUGGGCGCUGAGCAGAGGCAGAAGGGUACAACCCGGCUGUGCUUUUUGGAAGGGAUCCCGGAGGUGGCAUUCGUCACUGCACCUGCGGAUCGGAACAAGGCUGGGCACCGCGCCAAGGACUCACUCCUGCUGUCUCUCUUCAUGCUCACAGCAGCCCUGUGAUGGAGGAGCACCCUGAUCCCUUCGCUGCAGAUGAGGACACAGGCUCACAGAGGGUCCGAGAUCUUACAGCUGGUGAGGGGCAGAGCAAAACGCCAACCUAUUCCUGUUGGAUUCCAAAGUUUAUACUUUAAUCGUUCGUCUAGCAGAUUCUUACAACAAUCCUGGGAGAGACCGGGUUUCGGGCCAGGCGCAGUGACUCACGACUGCAAUUCCAGCAGCCCGGGAGGCCGAGGCCGGCGGAUCACCCGAGGUGAGGAGCUGGAGACCAGCCCGACCAACAUGGAGAAACCGCAUCUCUACCAAAAAAAUAAAAAAUAAAAAACUAACCGGGCAUGGUGGCUGACGCCCGCAAUCCCAGCCACUCAGGAGGCUGAGGCAGAAGAAUCACCCAAACCUGGGAGGCGGAGGCCUAGGCGAGCCGAGACCGCGCCACUGCCCUCCAACCUGGGCAAAGGAGCGAGACUCCGCUUCAAGAAAAAAAAAAGAGAUCAGGUUCCACCAUAUUGCCCAGGCAGGUCUGGAACUCCUAGGCUCAAGCGAUCUGCCGCACUCGGCCGUCCAAAGUCCUGGGAUCAAAAGCGUGAGCCACCACUCCGGGCCGAUCUAUUCCUUUCUGAUUAAUAAAUUGGGCCGGGCGCGGUGGCUCAAACCUGCAAUCCCAGCACCCCGGGAGGCCGAGGCGGUUGGGUAACGUGAAGUCGGGAGUUUGAGACCAUCCUGACCAAUAUGGAGAAACCUCGUCUGGACCAAAAAAAAAAAAAAAAAAUUAGCCGGGUAUGGUGGUUCAUGCCUGGAAUCCCGGCCACUCGGGAGGCUGAGGCAUGAGGACCACCCAAACCCGGGAGGCGGAGGCCGCGGGGAGCCGAGACUGCGCCACUGCACUCCAGCCUGGGCAACAAGAGCGAAACUCCCUCUCAAAAAAAACAAGCAAAAAAGAGACCUGGUUUCACCAUGUUGCCCAGGCCGGUCUGAACUCCUAGGCUCAAGUGAUCUGCCACGCUCAGCCAUCCCAAGUCCUGAGAUCAAAAGCGUGAGCCACCAAGCCAGGCCGAUCACGCCUGUAAUCCCAGCACUUUGGGAGGCUGAGGUGGGUGGAUCAGCUGAGUUCAGGAGUUCGAGACCAGCCUGGCCAAUAUGAUGAAACCCCGUCUCUACCAAAAAUACAAAAAAAUCAGCCGAGUGUGUGGCGGGCGCCUGUAAUCCCAGCUACUCAGAAGGCUGAGGCAGGAGAAUCGGUUGAACCUUGCAGGUGGAGGUUGCAGUGAGCCGGGAUAGCGCAACUGCACUCCAGCCUGGGUGACAGAGACUCCGUCUCGAAAAAAAAUAAUAAAAAUAAUAAAUUGGGCCGUGCGCCCUGGCUCAUGCCUGCAAUCGCAGCACCCCCGGAGGCCGAGGAGGGCGGGUAACCUGAGGUCGGGAGUUUGAGACCAGCCUGACCAACAGGGAGAAACCCCCGUCUGUACCAAAAAAUAAAUAAAUAAAUAAAUAAAUCAGCCGGGCAUGGUAGCUCAUGCGUGCAAUCCCAGCCACUUGGAGGCUGAGGCAGGAGAACCAACUAAACCCGGAGGCAGAGGCCUAGCGAACCGAGACCUUGCCACCGCUGUCCAGCCUGGGCAACAAGAGCGAAACUCCGCCCCCCACCCAAAAAAAAAAAGACCAGGUUUCACCAUGUUGCCCAGGAGGGUCUGGAACUCCUAGGCUCAAGAGAUCCGCCGUGCUCGGCCAUCCAAAGUCCUAGGAUCACAAACGUGAGCCACCACGCCAGGCUGAUCUAUUCCUUUCUGAUUAAUAAAUUGGGCCAGGCGCGGUGGCUCACGCCUGCAAUCUCAGCAUCCCUGGAGGCUGAGGCGGGCAGUUAACCUGAGGUCGGCAGUUUGAGACCAGCCUAACCAACAUGGAGAAACCCCAUCUGUACCAAAAAGAAAAAAAAAAAAUGAGCUGGGCAUUGUGGCUCACGCCUGCAAUCCCAGCCACUAGGGAGGCUGAGGCUGGAGAACCACCCAAACCCGGAGGCGGAGGCCACGGGGAGCCAAGACCACGCCACUGCUCUCCAGCUGGGCUAGAAGAACGAAAUUCCGCC